rnacentral:rRNA from 3 species
GGACUACUGGGGUAUCUAAUCCCGUUCGCUCCCCUGGCUUUCGCGCCUCAGCGUCAGAUUGGGUCCAGCAGGCCGCCUUCGCCACCGGAGUUCCUGUGGAUCUCAACGCAUUUCACCGCUCCACCCACAGUUCCGCCUGCCCCUACCCACCUCCAGGCCGCCAGUAUCUAAGGCCGUUCUCCGGUUGAGCCGGAGGAUUUCACCCCAGACUUGGCAGCCCGCCUACGCGCCCUUUAAGCCCAGUGAUUCCGAACAACGUUCGCUCGGUUCGUCUUACCGCGGCUGCUGGCAC